GAUGGGACAUGGAAAUGGUCAGUGACUCUAAAGACAAUGGAGCUGAAACUGGCAUCUUUAAACGUGCGCAGUGUGAAGAGCACUGCACGAUGUGUUAAUGCCUUACAGUACCUGGCCAAGGUCAAGGCAGAUGUGACUUUUCACCAGGAGUGCGAGUUGCCACAACUCCGCUGCUAUCGGAGGUGGUCGCGAUGGUGGCCUCACGGACUGUCGGUGUGGUCGAGGGCAAUGACUGUCGUGCUUCCGGCCUGCGGAUCUUGCUGCGGGGAGGGAACUUUGCCAUCACUGAGGUCAGGGAGGUGGUUGGGGGUCGUCUCCUCGUGGUGGAU